rnacentral:rRNA from 1 species
AGAGUUUGAUCUGGCACAGAACGAACGUGGGCGGCGUGGAUUAGGCAUGCAAGUCGAACGAAUCCCGGGGGCAACUUCGGGGGAAGUGGCGAAAGGGGCAGUAAUGCGUGGCUAACCUACCCUGGGGACGGGGAUAGCCUUCCUAACGGAAGGGUAAUACCUGGCGAUGUGGCGAGGGGGGCAUCUUCUUGCCAUGAAAUGAGUUUCGCCUCGGGAGGGGGUCACGUGCUAUUAGCUUGUUGGCGGGGUAACGGCCCACCAAGGCUAAGAUGGCUAGCGGGUGUGAGAGCACGACCCGCGCCACUGGCACUGAGACACUGGCCAGACUCCUACGGGAGGCUGCAGUCGAGGAUCUUCGGCAAUGGGCGCAAGCCUGACCGAGCGACGCCGCGUGUGCGAUGAAGGCCUUCGGGUUGUAAAGCACUGUCGAGGGGGAGGAAAGCCCGCAAGGGUCUGACCUAUCCCUGGAGGAAGCACGGGCUAAGUUCGUGCCAGCAGCCGCGGUAAGACGAACCGUGCGAACGUUGUUCGGAUUCACUGGGCUUAAAGGGCGCGUAGGCGGCUUGCCAAGUCAGGGGUGAAAUCUUUCGGCUUAACCGGAAAAGUGCUUCUGAUACUGGCAGGCUGGAGGGAGGUAGGGGCAGAUGGAACUUCCGGUGGAGCGGUGAAAUGCGUAGAUAUCGGAAGGAACGCCGGUGGCGAAAGCGAUCUGCUGGACCUCUUCUGACGCUGAGGCGCGAAAGCCAGGGGAGCAAACGGGAUUAGAUACCCCGGUAGUCCUGGCCCUAAACGAUGGGUACUAGGUAGUGGACUUGACAUGGGUUCACU